rnacentral:tRNA from 1 species
UGUGGGGUCGGCUAAUGGUAGGCCAGCAGACUUUGGCUCUGCCUAUCCUGGUUCGAAUCCAGGCCCCACAG